UACGAAGGGGGCUAGCGUUGUUCGGAAUCACUGGGCGUAAAGGGCGCGUAGGCGGCUUUAUAAGUCGGGGGUGAAAGCCUGUGGCUCAACCACAGAAUUGCCUUCGAUACUGUAGAGCUUGAGACCGGAAGAGGUAAGUGGAACUGCGAGUGUAGAGGUGAAAUUCGUAGAUAUUCGCAAGAACACCAGUGGCGAAGGCGGCUUACUGGACAGAUAUUGACGCUGAGGUGCGAAAGCGUGGGGAGCAAACAGG
rnacentral:rRNA from 1 species